rnacentral:rRNA from 1 species
UGGCUCAGGAUGAACGCUAGCUACAGGCUUAACACAUGCAAGUCGAGGGGCAUCAGGAAGAAAGCUUGCUUUCUUUGCUGGCGACCGGCGCACGGGUGAGUAACACGUAUCCAACCUGCCCUUUACUCGGGGAUAGCCUUUCGAAAGAAAGAUUAAUACCCGAUAGCAUAAUGAUUCCGCAUGGUUUCAUUAUUAAAGGAUUCCGGUAGAGGAUGGGGAUGCGUUCCAUUAGGUUGUUGGUGAGGUAACGGCUCACCAAGCCUUCGAUGGAUAGGGGUUCUGAGAGGAAGGUCCCCCACAUUGGAACUGAGACACGGUCCAAACUCCUACGGGAGGCAGCAGUGAGGAAUAUUGGUCAAUGGGCGCUAGCCUGAACCAGCCAAGUAGCGUGAAGGAUGAAGGCUCUAUGGGUCGUAAACUUCUUUUAUAUAAGAAUAAAGUGCAGUAUGUAUACUGUUUUGUAUGUAUUAUAUGAAUAAGGAUCGGCUAACUCCGUGCCAGCAGCCGCGGUAAUACGGAGGAUCCGAGCGUUAUCCGGAUUUAUUGGGUUUAAAGGGAGCGUAGGUGGACUGGUAAGUCAGUUGUGAAAGUUUGCGGCUCAACCGUAAAAUUGCAGUUGAUACUGUCAGUCUUGAGUACAGUAGAGGUGGGCGGAAUUCGUGGUGUAGCGGUGAAAUGCUUAGAUAUCACGAAGAACUCCGAUUGCGAAGGCAGCUCACUGGACUGCAACUGACACUGAUGCUCGAAAGUGUGGGUAUCAAACAGGAUUAGAUACCCUGGUAGUCCACACAGUAAACGAUGAAUACUCGCUGUUUGCGAUAUACAGUAAGCGGCCAAGCGAAAGCAUUAAGUAUUCCACCUGGGGAGUACGCCGGCAACGGUGAAACUCAAAGGAAUUGACGGGGGCCCGCACAAGCGGAGGAACAUGUGGUUUAAUUCGAUGAUACGCGAGGAACCUUACCCGGGCUUAAAUUGCAGUGGAAUGAUGUGGAAACAUGUCAGUGAGCAAUCACCGCUGUGAAGGUGCUGCAUGGUUGUCGUCAGCUCGUGCCGUGAGGUGUCGGCUUAAGUGCCAUAACGAGCGCAACCCUUAUCUUCAGUUACUAACAGGUCAUGCUGAGGACUCUGGAGAGACUGCCGUCGUAAGAUGUGAGGAAGGUGGGGAUGACGUCAAAUCAGCACGGCCCUUACGUCCGGGGCUACACACGUGUUACAAUGGGGGGUACAGAAGGCAGCUAGCGGGUGACCGUAUGCUAAUCCCAAAAGCCUCUCUCAGUUCGGAUCGAAGUCUGCAACCCGACUUCGUGAAGCUGGAUUCGCUAGUAAUCGCGCAUCAGCCACGGCGCGGUGAAUACGUUCCCGGGCCUUGUACACACCGCCCGUCAAGCCAUGGGAGCCGGGGGUACCUGAAGUACGUAACCGCAAGGAUCGUCCUAGGGUAAAACUGGUG